GCCAGUUUUGCCAUUUUAUUAUGUACAACCUUAGAAAUACUUCAUCUUAGGUAUGAUAUACUUUUAUAAAAACUAUAGAUACAAUCUAUUAUGAAGCUUGAAAAUGUACAAAGAUCGCCACAAGGUUAAUAAUAAUCAAACUCACAAAGUUAUGCACUUUGGCGUAAAGAGUGCACAAGCAACUUAUACCCUUAAGGGAAGCAAAUUAGGGAUAACAAUAAACGAAAAGGACUUGGGAAUUGUUAUAGGCAACAAACUAUGCAACAAUGUGCAAUGUCAAUUAGCAGUGGCCAAGGCCAGUAAUGUAGCCCAUGGAUCAGCGCAGCUAAGAGGAAUAGGCCUUGACAGAGCCAGGAGGUAGGCAUAGCAGCCACAGGAAUUUAGUGACAGCUAGCAUGCUGGGUAGGGGGGAGCCAUAAGGGGAGUAUUUAUACCAGCCAUUAUAUGAAGUGGCCAUUUUAACUGAACCUAAGCUUACCUGUCAGUUGUGAAAGCUGCCUGCCCUGGAGGGAGAAGGCAGCAGCAUGGAGGCAGCAUAGCAGAACAGGCAGCAUGGAGGCAGCAUACAGGCAGCAUGGAGGGCAGCAUGAAGAACAGGCAGUACUGAGACAGGAGGCAGCAUGGAGGUACAGGAGAGGCUGGAGUGAGCUGCUACUACAUGAUCACUCCCAUCAGCAGCAUGGAGGCAGCAUAGAAGAACAGAGGCAGCAUGGAGGUACAGGAGACAGCAUGGAGGUACAGGAGAGGCUGGAGUGAGCUGCUGCUGCUGCUGCAUGCUCACUCCCAUCAGCCUCAGACAGAACUCCAAGCAAGCCACCAUCCUGGUCACAAAGGUUGUGGCAGAAUCGGGGCUGGUGGCUGCAGGAGCAGCUGGGGGGCCCCGAGCACGUCUGCUACCCCCCCCCCCCCACGCGGCGGUGGAACAGAGGCCAGCAAGGAGAGCGAGGACGCCCCAGCGGCAGCCUGUGAGUGACAUCGUUAGUUCGGCAGCCCGUGAGCCUGUCAGGAGGCGGCAAGGGGAAGGCUGAGAAUGAGGUCGGAAAGCAGGCAGGAGUUGGAGGGCGGCUGGCGCCGUAUGUUCGACGCGGCGCCGGUCAGGCAAGACGGCAGGUCAGGAUGAGGCCGCACAGUAAGAGCGCCCCCUGCAAUAAGGCGGGGGGGCGGGAAAGCACAAAGGACGGCGGAAUCCAGCAUGACAUGAUGGCCGCCAGGCAGGAAGAGCUGCAAGAGGCGUCCUGGUGAGUCUGCCCCUGGUGGCAUACCUGAGUGACAGGGGGAAUGAUGCAAGGGCCCAGCAGUGUAAAAGCGGUUCCCCCCCCCCCAAUGGGCAGGCGGGGGGGUCCAGGUCGGCGGGACACAGACGGAGGCGGCCCUGGAUGGGGCCAGGGUCAGGUCAGAGGUGAAGGAAGCGGAUAGUGAAAGCAGCAGGCGGAGUCUUCACAGGCACAGCAGAGCAGCUAUGGAGGGGAAGGCCAGCAACCAGGAUUAAUUAAAGGGGCCACAAGUGGAUGAGGCGGCCUGGGAGAGGCCAGGUACUGCAAGCAGAGGGCAGACGAGAGGAAAUGGACGUAAGGCACAGAGGCAAGCGGGAGCCCCCUGGGGGGUGUUCUCAGGAGCAGGAACACAGGAGGAGCAUCAGCAGGUGUGAGUACGGCAGGGAGCAGCGCAACGACAAUGACAGGCACAGCAGCAGCGGGAGGUCGGAUGAGGGAUGGAGAAGCAGGUCGAGGAGUGUUACUUCUACGGGCUUGAGGCUGGACCAGCGCGGACAGGAGUCGGCAUCCACCGGAUACUCCAGAGCCUGGCAAGGUGGAUGGAAGGACAGCGCAGACGGAGGUUCGGGCGGUGAGUCCAUAAACACACCACACUUUUUUAAAUUGCAUAAAUCAUUUUAGAGUCAUGAUCAAGGAAAAAAGGGGCUGUCCCCGCAGUGCCGAAGGGUGGGGUCACCAGAGCGCAGUCGGGAGGCCGAAUGAAAGGGUGGUGGUGACGGCGUGCCGGGUAAGGGAAGGGGAAUACGGUGUACCGGUACCGGGGACAUCUGACGGGCAGGAGAACAGUUAGAUGUGUGGCAAUAUUCCAGGCGUGGCACAACAAAAUGGGCACGUGUCCUUCGCGGGGACAUUGGGGGGCACUUGAAGGUGGAGGAUAAGAUUUGAUAAAGGGGAUUUAAAAAAAUAAAUAAAUAUAUAUAUAUAUAAAAAAUUCCUGUCUUCUGCUCGAGGAGUUCAUUGAUUUAAAAGGGGUGGUUCCUAAUGAUAGUGCAGGAAAUGCGCUCUUUCCGGGGGCUGACGGCGCACCCCCAGGAGGUGCUGUGCUGGCUGGACAGAAGAAAGGUCAGUACAACUGGGGACCGUCGGGUAGGCUUUGAUACGGGUGUUCCGGAGGCGGUGGGAGUCACGGUGUCAACUGACGCGUCAAAAAAGGAAAACCUAAGGCAGGAAGGGUACUCGGCAGGGCUUCAGCCCCGCGGUUGCGGCUCGGAGCGGCACCAGUGAUGAUCAGUGCAUUGCUACUGUGGCUAAGGCAGUAAGCCUCCCAUGAAUGCGCUAGUUUUAUGGCUGAGAUUGUUGAGGGGGUUUACGCUAUUCCAUUCAAAGUCGAGGGACCAGGAAAAGUGGUGGGCGAAUAUCAAGUCCAUGGGGGAACUUCCGCGCCAUUAGCGGACCUGUGGGUGUCUCCAUGGGGGUGGUCCCCUAGAAAUGGGCGGGCAAAUUCUGUCCAAUACAAAACUUAUCGCACCCAAAAGGGGCAUCGGUAAAUGAGGACAUCGCCGCGGAACUGUUCUGUAUCGUUGGCAUCAUUCGGCCUUGCCGUCGAGUUGGUUUGGGGGAACAGGACGCGUUCGAUUAUUGGCGACCCUUCCAUCUUUUGGGUUGCAUGUUUGCAGGUUCCUAUUGGUAACCUCUACUUGCCAAGGGGCAGUUCCAUUCAUGUUCCUACUCGGGAAGUUGGAUCCGUCUGGGAGUGGGAGGUGAAAAAGGAAUCAGAAAGGGGUUCCUUAGUACAUUAUCUGUAAGAUAGCUUGCUGUGUGGGCUCGGCUGGGCCGGGCCGUUGUGGACAUACCUUACGGUCACGGGAAUCCUACCGCACGUCUUUGCUUGGACUGGAAAUUGUUUCGGUGGUAGGUGAGUGUCGAUUUCCUGGGGUUCAGUUGACUGCACUUCGGGAGUUCAGGCUGAAGGUUCGCAGGUCCAAGAAGGUCACUGAGAAAUCGCAGUUGUUCAUAAGGCAGUUUCAAGUUGCAUGUCGGGUUAGUCGCGAGGACUGGGUCGGUAGCCAUUUCAUGGCGAAGGCUACUUGUGGAGCCUUUGCGGGUGGUAUCGAGUUGUUCACAGAUACCUCUGGGAACAUAGAUUCCGGGGCAUACCUGGAAGGCAGGUGGUGCGCAGAGCGGUGGUGGGAGGCAUGAAAGGUAAGUCCUCUUAUUCGACGUUGGCAUCUUUUGAGUUAUUUCAAUUGGGAGUGGCUGUGGCUCUAAAAGGUGAAGGAUUAAGGGAUGAAAAGUCAUAAUUCACGCACAAUACGGCGGGGUUCGUGUGGUUUACCAUCCAGCCGGGUCCUCGGUUCAGGAGGUACGCCGAUGGCGGCGAUUCGUAUCACUGUUCAGGUAUCGGGUGCAGGCACGCCACGUGCCUGGUUGGCGGAAGGUAGGGGCUGGUUACUUGGCUCGCGCACAAGGGGACAAGCUGCGAAUGGCGGCCCCAGGGGGCGCGGGAGGAGGGACUGUCCAGUCUGGAGGAAAUGUGGCAGCUCGAGACGCCAUGCUUGGAGGAUCGAUACAGAAUCCUAUCGCACCGGGCAGAGGGACUGCCUAUGUGAACGUUUGAGAUAUGUGGGACAAGGCGGUUGGUUUCACUGUGGGGGCCCAGUCAAAGGAGGGGCGAAGGGAUACCUUGCUGUGGUUCCUAAGCCGUUUGUUUGUUCAGCGUUAGCUCCAUCAGCAAUGGACAGGAGCAUGGUGGCAUUGUCGUUAGGGUUUAAACUGACUGAUUGGGAGGAAGUGACGGAACGUUGUCACGUCCGUCAGGCAUCGCGGGUCUUACGGAGAGAUAUGAAAUAUGUCGGUGCCGGGCGGCGGGUUUCCUUGGGUAACGCAACGCCUGGUGGUGUAUUACCCUACUUUUGCAGUGAGUUUGCUUGCGGUGGCCUUCUCGGAGGCUUGGGGCAAUUUGGAUUGGGGAACUGGUGAGUGCCUUCGGGCAGGUGUUGGGGAGUUCUACACUUGGUUGUCGAACCUUAGUCGGUUAAGGUAACGAUUCAGUAGGGUUGUUCAAGAACGAAUGUGUCUGGUAAAGGAGGUUUGGUAAAGCUAUAUUCCCUGCCGGGGUCAGGGGUACGCCCGGUGUUAAGCGCAUCAUGCUACUUGGAGCUUUGCCCGGACAUCCCGGGUGGCUUACUGGUAAAAGGGGACAGAUCGGUGCUGUCACGAUUCAAUUCCCGCAGGUGUUUGUUCGAAGGGGUUUGACAAUGUUGGGUUUGGAUCCCGGGCACUUUGGGACCCAUUCUUCCCAGGUGAUGGCGGUAACAGAGGCACCCCACCUGGUUUUAAGUGAGGACCUAGGGAAACGUUUAGGCAGGUGGGAGUCAGUACGGUUUAAGUCCUGUUUCAGGCCAGUCUAUUUGGUUUAAUGGCUAUGGACGUAUGGGUUUGUGUUUGGGGCUAUGCCGUGUCGCUAAUUACUUUCGUUUCAGGUUUGGUGACAUGGUUGGUGGGUCAUUCUUAUAUCUAAGGGGCACAGAUGGGAGCCGCGUUUCAGUUCAAACGUAACUGGGCUUUCCUUUGAAAUUGGUGGAGCAGGAGUGGUUUUGUUUUUCAGGGAUUUUGGUGGCAAGACAUUAGGGGAGAAAUUUUUCCGGGAGGUAACAAAGGGUACUUUCCAGGACAUUCUGGAUAUUGACAUGGUCCCGGAAAAGGAAUUGAUCAGGUGGAGGCAGAGGGAGGUGGACCAGCUAUGGGAGCUGGCCACGGGUGUGGUGGUGGUGCGGUCCAAGAUGGUUCCUUGGUUACAUUGGAGACAUACUACGUACCCGGCCGUGGUAGCUCGGUGUCGAGGAAGACUUAAUAAAAAAUUGAUGGCGGAAUUUAUCAGAUGUGGGGGCGGUGUAACAGUGAGACACAACGAAUUGGGAGGAAAGCUCCCUGGGUACUCCAGGUGGGAUGGGGUACAUUUUUGGAUGUAAGGUGUGAUCUGUUUAAAUUGGGCCUUCAGGAAGGCAUUCAACAGGCCUUAUUCCGGUGUGGUGGGGGUCGUUCAGGAGCUUUAGGUGUCAAGUCCUGAGCUGUGGCGGGGAAUGGCCUGGUUAAAUCGGAGGGUAGAUGGAGGAGAAAGUGGGCAUCCUGAGGUUUAGUGUGGAUUGGGCAGUGUUGCACGUGGUUGGUAGGUUCGAGCCCGUCGGUGGCUCCGAACCUGGGGGUGUGGUGGUGUCUUGGUACACCCUACACUGGAACUGGUGGGUAGCGGUGUCUUGGUACACCCCUACAAUGGAUAUGGUGGGUAGCGGUGUCUUGGUACACCCCUACAAUGGAUAUGGUGGGUAGCGGUGUCUCGGUACACCCCUACAAUUUAACCUGGUGGAAAUGUGGUCAAAUUGGACGGCCAGUUUCUGUGUUAACAUGUUAUUUAUAUUGUUAUCUAUUGUUAUUAUUGUGGGGUCAUUGCUAGGGGUAUGUUAUGUAUAUGGGGGAGGUUAACAUUAUUAAGAUUUGUUGGCAAUGACCCCAUUUGUUAUUCCUUAAUUAUUUAUUAAUAAUUUAAUAAAGCUGUGGACAAAUUAUUUCCAACAGUAUAACCUGUGUCCGUGUUUUAAUGGGGGUUGGGGUAAGGUUAGCGCAUAUGCCGGCAAACCCGACUGUGCACCUGUCAUGUAGCCCAUGGAUCAGCGCAGCUAAGAGGAAUAGGCCUUGACAGAGCCAGGAGGUAGGCAUAGCAGCCACAGGAAUUUAGUGACAGCUAGCAUGCUGGGUAGGGCGGAGCCAUAAGGGGAGUAUUUAUACCAGCCAUUAUGUGAAGUGGCCAUUUUAACUGAACCUAAGCUUACCUGUCAGUUGUCCCUCCCACCCUCCCUGUAUUUGGUUAGGUUAGUUGAUUUCCCGUUUUUUCACAGCGGCGGGGAAUGGCCUGGUUAAAUCGGAGGGUAGAUGGAGGAGAAAGUGGGCAUCCUGAGGUUUAGUGUGGAUUGGGCAGUGUUGCACGUGGUUGGUAGGUUCGAGCCCGUCGGUGGCUCCGAACCUGGGGGUGUGGUGGUGUCUUGGUACACCCUACACUGGAACUGGUGGGUAGCGGUGUCUUGGUACACCCCUACAAUGGAUAUGGUGGGUAGCGGUGUCUUGGUACACCCCUACAAUGGAUAUGGUGGGUAGCGGUGUCUCGGUACACCCCUACAAUUUAACCUGGUGGAAAUGUGGUCAAAUUGGACGGCCAGUUUCUGUGUUAACAUGUUAUUUAUAUUGUUAUCUAUUGUUAUUAUUGUGGGGUCAUUGCUAGGGGUAUGUUAUGUAUAUGGGGGAGGUUAACAUUAUUAAGAUUUGUUGGCAAUGACCCCAUUUGUUAUUCCUUAAUUAUUUAUUAAUAAUUUAAUAAAGCUGUGGACAAAUUAUUUCCAACAGUAUAACCUGUGUCCGUGUUUUAAUGGGGGUUGGGGUAAGGUUAGCGCAUAUGCCGGCAAAUCCGACUGUGCACCUGUCAGGUAUUGUCAUGCAUUAAAAAGGGCAUUAAUUCUUGGGUUUCUUUACUCUAAGAAUAAUAAGGAUGUGGAAUUCUCUGCCUGAGGAAGUGGUUUUAUCAGAGUCCAUACAGAUGUUCAAAC